rnacentral:rRNA from 1 species
UGGGGAAUUUUGGACAAUGGGCGCAAGCCUGAUCCAGCCAUGCCGCGUGCGGGAAGAAGGCCUUCGGGUUGUAAACCGCUUUUGUCAGGGAAGAAAUCUUCUGAGUUAAUACCUCGGGAGGAUGACGGUACCUGAAGAAUAAGCACCGGCUAACUACGUGCCAGCAGCCGCGGUAAUACGUAGGGUGCAAGCGUUAAUCGGAAUUACUGGGCGUAAAGCGUGCGCAGGCGGUUUUGUAAGACAGAGGUGAAAUCCCCGGGCUCAACCUGGGAACUGCCUUUGUGACUGCAAGGCUUGAGUGCGGCAGAGGGGGGAUGGAAUUCCGCGUGUAGCAGUGAAAUGUGUAGAUAUGCGGAGGAACACCGAUGGCGAAGGCAAUCCCCUGGGCCUGCACUGACGCUCAUGCACGAAAGCGUGGGGAGCAAACAGAUUAGAUACCCUGGUAGUCCACGCCCUAAACGAUGUCAACUGGUUGUUGGGAAGGUUCCUUCUCAGUAACGUAGCUAACGCGUGAAGUUGACCGCCUGGGGAGUAC